UUUAAACAGUCUCUUCUGCUAUACUGUGGGGAGUGGGGAGGUAUAGGAAUGAUUUUGUGUUUAACCACUCAUUCUUCCUUGUUACAAGGAGUGGAAAGUUCUUUACAAAUUACAAGGAACUAGAGGGAGAAAAACCGGAGCUCUUUAGCAGAAGGAUCAUGCAAAAGCUAAGAAGUUCUUUCCAACAAAGAUGGUGCUAAACAGAUUCGCUCGUGGAGGUUAGCUCCUGUCAUCAGUUGGUGCAUCAACGGAGCGAACAAGCACAUCUGAUGGGGCGGCUGCAACAAGCUUGCUGUCGUUGAAUGCACUGGGUGGUUUCAUAAGCAAUCUGGAUGUGUGAUGUCAAAAAAUGGCUCGGUCUGUCGUUUUUGUUCGAAUUUUAGUACGUAGUAGUAUUUCUUUUCUUUCUCUAGCCUUACAUUUGUUUUUAAACAUCGUUGUGAUGUAGAACCUUUGGAAGCACGGUCCCACUCCCUUUGGGAGGAUGGAUGUUAUGGUUGUCGUUGAGGUGUUUUCCCUCCCUGAUGAUAAAAAGGAAAACUGUCUGGCAAUUUCAUUGGUCCGCUACAUCCAUACUGUUGGAAUAUUGCCGUAUUUCUUUUCUCACAGAAAUGGCAAAAAGAACACAGGCUCUUUUCACGGGUUUGCUUCUUACAAAACACAGCUGGUCACAUUCCGGUCUGAAUUUAAAAAACAAUACAGCAUCCGAAGCAACGAAAAUGGCCAUGGCAGCUUGACAAGAUGGACACGAAAGCAAGCCCACGUGUAGUCGUGUUGCAAGAUUUACUACUUCCUACGAUGACAUCCUCGUGUGUAGUCGUGUUGCAAGAUUUACUGCUCCCUCGCUUUGAACUAAAACUAGUUCAAAACCGCACCAAUCUCUGUGAAACGGAGGGAGUACUUCCUAACGAUGACAUCUGAAUAAACGAGACAGAUAAAAGAUGGAUCCUCUAAUUACUUAAGCACAUUUUAUGUAAUCUAUCUCAAGAUUUUCAUAAAAUAUGUUUAAGUAAUUAUGAUGAAUUCCAUCUUACAUUUGAUCUGUUAUGUCAGAUGUAAUGAUUAAUAUUUAAAUGUAAUCAUUACUGGUUUUGUGUAUUA